UCUAUCCUGUUCCUCUGUGCUGGCAAGUUUUACAUCAGCUUGACACAGCUAGCAUACGAGAGUCAAUCGAGAAAUGCCUCUCUAUACAGUUGGGCUCUAGGCAGGCCUGAAGGACAUUUUCUUAACUGGUCAUUUGGAAGUGCCCAACCGGUUGUGGGUGGCACCACCCCUGGACAGGUGGUUCUCAUAGGCAGUCUGAGCAAGCCAGGGGACUAUAACCAGUCUGAACAAGCCAGUAUGCAUUCUGCCACGGCCCAUCACUCCUUCCUCUAGGUUCCUUCUCUGUUCGAGUUCCUGCCCUGACUGCUUUCAAUGAUUAACUGUUAUAUGGACGUGAAUCUGUGUUUGGGAGUAUCCAAUGUCUGCGGAAGACUGGGGAACCACAGAAACUGUAGGAGGCAGAAAGGAGCUGCCUUCAGUGAUCCAGCCAGGUUCCUGUCCCCACAA